rnacentral:rRNA from 1 species
AACGAACGCUGGCGGCAGGCCUAACACAUGCAAGUCGAACGGGACCUUCGGGUCUAGUGGCGGACGGGUGAGUAACGCGUGGGAACGUGCCCUUUGGUUCGGAAUAGCCUCGGGAAACUGGGAGUAAUACCGGAUACGGUCGGAAGACGAAAGAUUUAUCGCCGAAGGAUCGGCCCGCGUUGGAUUAGGUAGUUGGUGGGGUAAAGGCCCACCAAGGCGACGAUCAGUAGCUGGUCUGAGAGGAUGAUCAGCCACAUUGGGACUGAGACACGGCCCAAACUCCUACGGGAGGCAGCAGUGGGGAAUCUUGCGCAAUGGGCGAAAGCCUGACGCAGCCAUGCCGCGUGAAUGAUGAAGGUCUUAGGAUUGUAAAAUUCUUUCACCGGGGACGAUAAUGACGGUACCCGGAGAAGAAGCCCCGGCUAACUUCGUGCCAGCAGCCGCGGUAAU